CCUUCGGGUCGUAAAGCUCUGUGGGGAGGGACGAAACCGCUCACCGCUAAUACCGGUGGGUCUUGACGGUACCUCCUUAGCAAGCACCGGCUAACUCCGUGC
rnacentral:rRNA from 1 species